rnacentral:tRNA from 2 species
GGCCGAGUGAUGGAACUGGCAGACGUGCUUGACUCAAAAUCAAGUGAGGUCAACCCUCGUGUGGGUUCGAAUCCCACCUCGGCCACCA